CUGGACUCUUCCCUAAGGUUCUCUCCCUCAUCCAAUGACUGUGGGCAUGUGCUGUGCCAUGGUGUGAAGCUGGGUCUUCCUUUGUGCAAGCUGGGCUGAAUUCAACUGUCCAGAUAGAAAGGUGGACAUGGAAAAAUUGGGCUUUGCAAAUGGUCACCCAAUUCUUGCCUUCCUGGUCUCCAGAUCACCCUUCCUAUACCGCCACUCUGGAGAAAGAAGUACAGAACGCUAACAAGCACUCACAGUGUGUGCUACCCUUCUGCAUGGUGGAAUUGUGGGGAAGUAACUACUAGCCAGAGACUACCUCAAGGCCUCUUUCAUCAAGGAGAGGCCCAUAUGAUUAGUUUUCACCAGUGAGGUAUGAAUGAAAGUGAUGUGUGCCAAUUUUAGGCCAAGUUGGGUAGGAAGUGGGGGUGUCAUCUUCAUUUUCUCCUUCCCAAUCAACCCAGCUAGAUACAGAGGACCUAACAUACAACUCAGAGUCCCUAGAAGAUGGAGAAAACACAGACAAUUGGCAGAGGAGAUGAGCAUGUGAUUAUUGUUACCACUUGUCUGGAAGCAACCAGAAUGGAGUGGGGAAGACUCAAGGAGGAGAUCUUCACAGGACUCACCUCUCAUCACAGCUCCCGUGUGGUUGUAAUCACCCCAGAGGGAAAAAUAAUUUCGGUUUUUUAUGGUUUAAUUAUUGGUGAUAGCAGCUGUUUUGAAGACACAAACACAGAAGCAAGUUCUAGAACAUACUCACAGUUUCCUUGGUCACAGUGUUGUCAGUGGUUCUAUAAAGGUCUUAUGAAUCUCUACUUAGUUGACCACAAGUAGUAAGCAAGAAACAAUCCUGUAAAGAGAAUGGAGGUCAGAAUAAAGAAGCCUUGAGGGUUUAAAUCGCUUCUUGAAAAGAAAUGCCCGUGUGUCAAGGAGCUAAGGGAGACCAGCCCAGGAGGAGCUGAAUCCUGCCAACAAUCACUUGAGUGAACUUGAGAGUGAAUCCUCUCCAUGUUAAGCCUUGAGGUGAUUGUAGCUCCAUCAAAUACCUUCAUUGUAGCCUUGUGAGAGAUCUGAGUCAGAGGAUGGAGUUAAGCCAAGCCCAGAUUCCAGACCCUCAGAAACUUGAAAGCGGAAUACCUGGUUAUCCGGAGGUCACUGUCUCCACACAGAGUGGUGUCCUUGAUGCUAGCUUGGGGCAAAGAAGCCAGGCCAGCUUGUGGUUGCAAUAGGAAUAGAAGAGACUUCCUUACUCCAAUCCCACCCUACCCCCUCAUCCUGCCUCAACCAGUCAUGCAGAGAGAUGCUGAAUGGCUGCCUGCUCUCAGGGGAAUGAUUUGUGGAGGUUUAAUUAAAAUAAUUUAAUCAAUCAAAUCCAACAAAUAUUCGCUGAGUACCUACCAUAGUUAAG
rnacentral:lncRNA from 1 species